GGAGACCUUGAGAGAGGCAGCUGCUGAGAACUCACACAGACCCAUGAUCACACAGGACCGAGACACUAAUGAAUAGGUAAUGUACAUUUGUUCCUGCUGUGUGAUUGUCCAUCUGUCUGUGCCUGGACAACCACUCCAUCCCCACUGGAUGCAGUAAACAGCACCACUGCCCACUGGCAUUGUGAACCUGGUGUCCAUCACUGAGCUCUGCUGGGGAUAGUCUAUGUGGCAGCUGCUGUAGCUCUUGCUCAGAGUGCUGGAUCCCAGAGUAUUGCAGAAGCCCAAGUGGCCAGACCUAGAGCAAGAGCCCAAAAUCAGAACCCUGCAAGCUGGAGACCAGCAGGCAUUACCAUCUGGGGCUCCCGUAGGAGCUGGCGGUGCCAGGCCACGCUGUCCACUCGACUCUGCUGCUUGUUCCAGUGCAUGAGGAGGUGACCUUAACUUCCAGACAAUGUGGCCAGAUGAGGGAACACAGACUGCAUGGAGGACCUUGGAAGAGUUUGCGGGGCACAGCCCUGCUGGCACAAAGCCUGACACAGAAGGACACAGACACCCCUGCACGGUGAACAGUGACUGAUACUUGUCAUUUACAAGCCUCUUCUUCAGCUCAUCCCCAUGUUGAAAGCAAGAGCUGCUGAGGGCAGUGGAUGUAGGAGUCUCUUCUGGGAGCUGAACCUUUGCAGGAGGCUGGACUAGCAGGGAGAGAUGCAGAGAACUGUGGGCACAGGACAGGGUCCACCGAUUGCGAAAGCAAGAAUGGAAUGAGAAGUAUGAGCAAUGGAUCGAUAUACUAGUCGAACUGAAAUAAGAUAUUGUCAGAACUAUUUGUCCAAGGAAAAUCAGAUGUUCACAACAGAAGUUACAUUCUGAGCUAGAUUUAUCAGAGCCUCCAGCCAGGAUCACUGCACCAGGCCUAGAGAGCAGAGGGAAGAUUUGUGUCUCACUUUCCCAUGGGCCUGGAGCCCUGUGUAAGCCUCAGAGCCACUGUGAAAUCCACUGCCCCUGUGCAGACCCCGAGACAGACCCAUUCUCAGGCUGCAGCACAGCAACGUGCAAAAUCCUUGCACAGGCCGACGCAUCUUUAGAUCCCAAGAUGUGGCUGGGAGCCUCAGAGCCCUGUUUCUUACUUGAGUCCAAGUAGAAGUUCACGAGAUAUUAGAUAGGGUUCCCUGGAUUCUGCCAGAACCAGUCACCGAUUUCUUCUGAUGGAAUCACUGAUUCAUUGUGGUGAUUAUCCAAGGGUGUAUAAAUAUCUUAAAACACACAAAAUUGGGCACUUUAAAUAUCAGGGGUUUAUUUUGUUAAUUAUUCCUCAAUAAAAAGACACAUAAAAAAUAGGCUGAAACAGACCCGGCAUGGUGGCUCACGCCUGUAAUCCCAGCACUUUGGGAGGCCGAGGUGGGCGGAUCACUUAAGGUCAGGAGAUCGAGACAAUCCUGUGAAUGGUGAAACCCCAUCCCUACUAAAAAUACAAAAAAUUAGCCGGGCAUGGUGGCGGGCGCCUGUAGUCCCAG
rnacentral:lncRNA from 1 species